rnacentral:rRNA from 1 species
GACAGAGGGGGCAAGCGUUGCUCGGAAUCACUGGGCGUAAAGGGCGCGUAGGCGGGAUGGCAAGUCGGUCGUGAAAUCCUUCGGCUCAACCGAAGAACGUCGGCCGAUACUGCCGUUCUUGAGGGAUGCAGAGGAGAUUGGAAUUCCCGGUGUAGCGGUGAAAUGUGUAGAGAUCGGGAGGAACACCGGCGGCGAAGGCGGCCUGCUGGGCAGUAGCUGACACUGAGGCGCGACAGCGUGGGGAGCAAACAGG